rnacentral:rRNA from 1 species
UACGUAGGGUGCAAGCGUUAUCCGGAAUUAUUGGGCGUAAAGAGCUCGUAGGCGGCUUGUCGCGUCGUCCGUGAAAACCUGCAGCUCAACUGCAGGCUUGCGGUCGAUACGGGCAGGCUAGAGUUCGGUAGGGGAGACUGGAAUUCCUGGUGUAGCGGUGAAAUGCGCAGAUAUCAGGAGGAACACCGGUGGCGAAGGCGGAUCUCUGGGCCUUACCUGACGCUGAGGCGCGAAAGCUAGGGGAGCGAACAGG